UUCUAAUUUCUUAAAGAGUUUAUGGAAGGAGAUGGAUCAUUAUCAAUGCAUCCAAAUAAAAUGCAGCGAGGAUGCAGCCAUUCUUAAAAAAUUUGCUGAAAAAGAUUGGAUUUAUGACUUUCUUGCAGGAUUGAACAUCGAGUUUGAUGCUGCAUGAGUACAAGUACUUGGAAAAGAAGAGUUGCCAUCCUUGAAUGAGGCAAUAGCAAUUAUUCUUGCUGAGGAAGGAAGAAGGGGAGUUACG
rnacentral:misc_RNA from 1 species